rnacentral:rRNA from 1 species
UGGGGAAUUUUGGGCAAUGGGCGAAAGCCCGAUCCAGCAAUGCCGCGUGUGUGAAGAAGGCCUUCGGGUUGUAAAGCACUUUUGUCCGGAAAGAAAUCCUUGGCUCUAAUACAGUCGGGGGGAUGACGGUACCGGAAGAAUAAGCACCGGCUAACUACGUGCCAGCAGCCGCGGUAAUACGUAGGGUGCAAGCGUUAAUCGGAAUUACUGGGCGUAAAGCGUGCGCAGGCGGUUUGCUAAGACCGAUGUGAAAUCCCCGGGCUCAACCUGGGAACUGCAUUGGUGACUGGCAGGCUAGAGUAUGGCAGAGGGGGGUAGAAUUCCACGUGUAGCAGUGAAAUGCGUAGAGAUGUGGAGGAAUACCGAUGGCGAAGGCAACCCCCUGGGCCAAUACUGACGCUCAUGCACGAAAGCGUGGGGAGCAAACAGGAUUAGAUACCCUGGUAGUCCACGCCCUAAAACGAUGUCAACUAGUUGUUGGGGAUUCAUUUCCUUAGUAACGUAGCUAACGUGUGAAGUUGACCGCCUGGGGAGUACGGUCGCAAGAUUAAAACUUAAAUGAAUUGACGGGGUCAUAGCUG